UCUGCAGCUGCCCUCAUCCAGCCCACCUGUUUGCACUGAUUACUGAUUUAUAGGGCUGUCUCUGCUCCCUCCUGGCUGGCUCCACUCUCUCAGGAUGUAAGCAGCUUGUGGGUCAGCUCGUUCCUCACCUUGUUUCACAUCCUCUCAGCCCGACACUGCUAUGGCCCCUUUCCUGCGGGACAUUCCAGGGCUCUUUCUUUCUUCCCUGGAGACCAUGCGAGUCCAGGAUUGUAAGGAAUGUUCCCAGACAGCUUCCAGGGAUCGGACAGACACCGAAGCCCCCCAAGAUCGGAACGGGAUCCCGGAGGGGGAUCUCAGGGGUCCCGGGAUCCCAUCGGCGGUGCCGGGCGCGGGACGGCAGCACCACCUGGUGGAAGCGGGAGGUAGUGCAUGUUCGGAUCCGGUUCGGUCCAUCUCGGCGUCCGGUGUGACUCUCUCCUCCUGCGGAGAGGGGUUUGGAUGACUCGCUCUUGUUUGCAAGGGGCUCCGUCACAUAAUUGUCGUCAGCGCAUGGGAUGGGGUCCUCAUAGUGACCUGUACUUUCAUACCUGGAAGAAGCUGCUGCUCUCAAGUUAUGGCUGAAAUCAAAAUAUAAUGUGGAAGAAGAGUUGAGACCAGAGUAAUCAUCAGACAAAUCAUCUCCCCCAGGCAUAAGGAUUUUAAACAAGGUUGUAAUUUGAUUCAUGUAAACAUGGGCCACUGGAUUAUGUUAUGGCUCUUGUCCUCUGCUUCCAGGUGGCAGGAAAACCUUGGACAUUACAGCAGCACUGCCUGCAGCCCAGGAGGAGUUUCAGAGGCACUAGAAGGUCUCAAGAGGCCACAUUUUGAUGAGGAGUUAAUAAACAGCUCCUGCUCUUUGCUUAGGAUUCUUAUUUUGUGAAGAAAAAGAUCUUUAUUUUUACAUUACAUGUUGCUGUGGAAAGCCCACAGCCCAUCAGUACAAUGUAUGACUGAGCUAACUUUGCACAUCUUCAUCUGUACUGCUUAAGAGGCUUUUCACCUUGACAGGUAAGUGAACUAUGCCUCUGUAGAUCCUCCACCACCUGUUCCAAUCCAUGCAUUUGACCAGCUCCUGGAUGAUGCCAAAGCACAGCACCAGCCCCAUCCCUAGGCCCCUCAAAGGAGAAAGAACACAUUGAAGUUUUCUAGAAUGCUCCACUCACCAUCCUUGGGCUUUCUAAUGCAAAUGAUAAGGAAGAUGACAACAAAAACCACAGCACUGCAAACCACGGCAAUCAAGAUGACCAGGAACAGGGAGAGGUGAGACCCCUGGAGACCUAGAGCAACAGAAGACUUUCACACUGAGAAGCCCCCUCGAGGUCGCAGCAGCACUUUAGUGAUUCCAGCCACUUCCCUGAGGACAGCAGCAGCCAUGGAUAUGGGACACAGGGCUGUGCUGCAUGUGCCUCAUCCUGGCAGCACCCUGGGAGGAGGCUCUGAUGAGUGACAUUGCAGACUCACUGCUCACAUCUCUUCAGGAGACUGGGGCCACAAGGAGAACCAGCAGAGUCUCCUAAUACAACUGGCAGCCAAAAGGCAGAACAAUAGUUCUGAGGCUAAAGGUACUGACUACUGAGUUUGGGUCCCUCAUUUUCUUCUUAGCUUUGCUUUGCUCGCCACUUACUCUGAGUUGUGUAAUUUUUUUCUGGAUAUACCACACCACUCUCUGGAGUCACUACUGCUACAGGCAGAUCUGCAGAAAAAAGAGGAGUGAAAGGUUCACAGUGCAUUUCCAGACAUUUUA